UGGGGAAUAUUGCACAAUGGAGGGAACUCUGAUGCAGCGACGCCGCGUGAACGAAGAAGGCUUUCGAGUCGUAAAGUUCUCUUAUAUGGGAAGAUAAUGACGGUACCAUAAGAAAAAGCCCCGGCUAACUACGUGCCAGCGGCCGCGGUAAUACGUAGGGGGCUAGCGUUGUCCGGAAUCACUGGGCGUAAAGGGUUCGCAGGCGGAAAUGCAAGUCAGGUGUAAAAGGCAGUAGCUUAACUACUGUAAGCAUUUGAAACUGCAUAUCUUGAGAAGAGUAGAGGUAAGUGGAAUUUUUAGUGUAGCGGUGAAAUGCGUAGAUAUUAAAAAGAAUACCGGUGGCGAAGGCGACUUACUGGGCUCAUUCUGACGCUGAGGAACGAAAGCGUGGGUAGCAAACAGG
rnacentral:rRNA from 1 species